UACGGAGGAUGCAAGCGUUAUCCGGAUUCAUUGGGUUUAAAGGGUGCGCAGGCGGGAGAUUAAGUCGGCGGUGAAAUUUUGCAGCUCAACUGUAAAAGUGCCUUCGAAACUGGUUUCCUUGAGUGUGGAUGAAGUAGGCGGAAUUUGUGGUGUAGCGGUGAAAUGCAUAGAUAUCACGAGGAACUCCGAUUGCGCAGGCAGCUUACUAAACCAUAACUGACGCUCAGGCACGAAGGCGUGGGGAUCAAACAGGAUUAGAUA
rnacentral:rRNA from 1 species